rnacentral:rRNA from 1 species
UACGGGGGGGGUAAGCGUUGUUCGGAAUUACUGGGCGUAAAGGGCUCGUAGGCGGCCAACUAAGUCGGACGUGAAAUCCCCAGGCUCAACCUGGGAACUGCGUCUGAUACUGGAUGGCUUGAAUUCGGGAGAGGGAUGCAGAAUUCCAGGUGUAGCGGUGAAAUGCGUAGAUAUCUGGAGGAAUACCGGUGGCGAAGGCGGCAUCCUGGACCGACAUUGACGCUGAGGAGCAAAAGCUAGGGGAGCAAACGGG